GAGUGAUCUAGCCAUGGCCAGGGUGAAGCGCGGGUAAGACCGCGUGGAGGCCCGAACCCACCAGGGUUGAAAACCUGGGGGAUGAGCUGUGGUUAGGGGUGAAAGGCCAAUCAAACUCCGUGAUAGCUGGUUCUCCCCGAAAUGCAUUUAGGUGCAGCGUCGUGUGUUUCACCACGGGGGUAGAGCACUGGAUGGUCUAGGGGGCCUACAAGCUUACCGAAAUCAACCAAACUCCGAAUACCGUGGUGUGAGAGCGCGGCAGUGAGACUGCGGGGGAUAAGCUUCGUAGUCGAGAGGGAAACAGCCCAGAACGCCAGCUAAGGUCCCUAAGUGUGUGCUAAGUGGGAAAGGAUGUGGGGUCGCACAGACAGCCAGGAGGUUGGCUUAGAAGCAGCCACCCUUUAAAGAGUGCGUAAUAGCUCACUGGUCAAGUGGUCCUGCGCCGACAAUGUAGCGGGGCUUAAGCACACCACCGAAGCUGUGUCAUUUCAGCCUUGUGCUGGGAUGGGUAGGGGAGCGUCGUGUAGCGGUUGAAG
rnacentral:ncRNA from 1 species